AACGCGAAGAACCUUACCUGGAUUUGACAUCCUUUGAAUAGUUUAGAGAUAGACUAGGCUCGCAAGAGACAAAGAGACAGGUGCUGCAUGGCUGUCGUCAGCUCGUGUUGUGAAAUGUUGGGUUAAGUCCCGCAACGAGCGCAACCCUUGCCUUUGGUUGCCAUCAUUAAGUUGGGCACUCCAGAGGGACUGCCGUCGUCAAGACGGAGGAAGGUGGGGAUGACGUCAAGUCCUCAUGGCCUUUAUAUCCAGGGCGACACACGUGAUACAAUGGUAGGUACAGAGGGGCGCGAAGUGGCGACACGGAGCCAAUCCCAAAAAAGCCUAUCUCAGUUCGGAUUGGAGUCUGCAACUCGACUCCAUGAAGUUGGAAUCGCUAGUAAUCGCGGAUCAGCACGCCGCGGUGAAUACGUUCCCGGGCCUUGUACACACCGCUCGUC
rnacentral:rRNA from 1 species